GAACGAACGCUGAGUCCCUGUGCCGUGAGCGCGUCUCUUACCUACUGAUCUGCUGAAGACAAAAGGAUUUUCUUCUUUUCAGAAACUGGACACUUGGAGCUCGCCGGGGCGGCCACACAAAGCUGCCCUGCUGCCAAAGAGCAUUUUGGAAGCAAGCGUGUAACUGGAAGUGCUGAACGACUGCCAGCUACAUCAAAAACAAAUGAAAUGUUUCAGCUUUGCUCUACGUGCAUUCACAACCCAGUCCUCUACACUGAAUCAGUUUGGCAAAAUAAGGGCCGCAAUGUCAGUCUGGACAAGGAGAUUUCCUUACGUGACGCUUCCUCUCCUGCAGCAGGGCCUGGAAGCCUUUAACUAACAUCUAUCACAUGAAAGCACUUCUGCUGAGCCGCACCACAAAGACAAGCUGGUGUGAGAAGUUCCCAUGAUGCCAGAUCCCUUCCUUGGCUCCUUCCUGACUUUCCAUCAAUUUUAGAGCUAUGCCAAGAAAAACAGCUCUUUUUAAAGAAGUCCUAGCGCAGCACUGGCAUCUUCCCCUGAGGCACUCCCCAUGGAAAUGCCGCUGUGCUUCAAUCCAAGCAAACCUGCUCUGAGCCCCAUCCUUGUUACACCCCUCACCAGGAAGACUUCGCUCCCUCUCGCCAUGCACACCCACACGUUGCCCGCACCCCGUGGGAUCCCUCACUGCAUGCAUGCCAGAGACUGCAUGGGGCAAACACAUCGGUAGUAAAAAAAUAAAUAAAAGCAAAGCCAAGUACCUAA